ACACUCACCUGGCAGGGGAGAUGUCAUGAUCACGAAGGUGUUUUCCCAGGGUGCGGCUUACCCACCGCACUCCGGAGGUGCUGAUCCCUGGGAUUUCCCCAAAUGUGGGAAACUCGACUGCCUGUUUUGUGGUCGUGGGGGACUGCGUUUGCGCUCUCCCCUG
rnacentral:snRNA from 1 species